UCUGACAUUGCCGCUAGUGUUUCAUCGCCGCCAUUUGCAUUUGUUUUAAGCGUGUGUUGGUUGUAAAAUAGUGUUUUUCGGCUUUUUCGGUCUGUUAAGUGGUGAAAGGGUGUCUAACGCCCUUUGAUUGUUCAUUUUCUUCAAAAUGACCACUCAACCGCAUAGCCGGAAGCGCGUCUGCUACUAUUACGACAGCGACAUUGGUAACUACUACUAUGGGCAGGGACAUCCCAUGAAACCGCACAGGAUAAGGAUGACGCACAAUUUGCUGCUCAACUACGGCCUGUAUAGGAAAAUGGAGAUUUACCGUCCCCACAAAGCUACAGCCGAAGAGAUGACCAAAUUCCACUCGGAUGACUAUAUCCGAUUCCUCCGAUCUAUCCGACCGGAUAACAUGGCAGAAUAUAAUAAACAGAUGCAGAGAUUUAAUGUAGGCGAAGACUGUCCCGUCUUUGACGGCCUCUACGAGUUCUGCCAGCUCUCAGCUGGAGGCUCAGUGGCGGCGGCAGUCAAAUUGAACAAGCAGGCAUCGGAAAUUUGCAUAAAUUGGGGCGGAGGGUUGCAUCACGCCAAGAAAUCUGAAGCAUCUGGCUUUUGCUACGUGAACGAUAUUGUGCUUGGCAUCUUGGAGUUGCUGAAGUACCAUCAACGAGUGCUCUACAUCGACAUUGAUGUGCAUCACGGCGAUGGUGUAGAGGAGGCUUUUUACACUACCGAUCGCGUGAUGACUGUCUCGUUUCACAAAUAUGGAGAGUACUUCCCAGGAACUGGUGAUUUGCGAGAUAUCGGCGCGGGUAAAGGCAAAUACUAUGCCGUGAACAUUCCGCUUCGUGACGGCAUGGACGACGAAUCCUAUGAAAGUAUUUUUGUGCCGAUUAUCAGCAAAGUAAUGGAAACAUUCCAGCCCAGUGCUGUGGUCCUGCAAUGUGGCGCCGAUUCUCUCACUGGAGAUCGAUUGGGCUGUUUCAAUCUGACUGUUAAAGGACACGGCAAAUGCGUGGAGUUCGUCAAGAAGUAUAACCUUCCAUUCAUGAUGGUUGGAGGUGGCGGGUAUACAAUAAGAAAUGUAUCCAGAGCGUGGACCUACGAGACUUCGGUGGCUUUAGGCGUGGACAUUGCCAACGAGCUGCCCUACAACGACUACUUUGAGUAUUUUGGUCCUGACUUCAAGUUGCACAUCAGCCCUAGCAACAUGGCUAAUCAAAACACGCAGGAAUAUCUGGAAAAAAUCAAAACUAGGUUAUUCGAGAACUUGCGAAUGCUGCCGCAUGCCCCAGGGGUUCAAGUUCAGGCUAUUCCUGAAGACGCCAUCAAUGAGGAGAGCGACAACGACGACAAGGCGGACAAAGACGAGCGGCUGCCUCAGAAGGAGCUGGACAAACGCAUCGUGCCGGAUAAUGAGUUCUCAGACAGCGAGGAUGAAGGCGAAGGUGGCCGGAGGGACAACAGGAGUUACAAAAACAGGAAACGCCCAAGGCUCGACAAAACCACCGAGAGCAAGGAGGAGGAGAAGCCCAAAGAGGAGGUGAAAUCGGAAAAAACACCAGGCGAGCAAGAGAAUAGAUGAGAGAAUAAAGAGCUGUCUUAUUUCUAGGUGUGUACCAUGCCUGAAAGUAGUUAGAAUGUCCUGGGGUUAGACGCGUUUUAAAUCCCUUCUCUGGUGAGGAGAGUUCAAAGACAAGCUCGGACGAUACCACCACUGAUACCGGCUGACCCUCGUAUUCUAUAUUUAAAUAAGUUAUUUUUUUGUAUGUGCGCACAAGAUUUUAUUUUGUGCAAUUCCUAUCAACUCCGAUUGUCCGGUUUGGACGUCUUGUAUAAGUCGCACUAGAAUUAUAUGUAAUUCCAGUGCCUUUUAUAUAUGGAAUGGUUAAUUUGCCCUUUAAUUGCAUCAUUGUACAUAGUGUGUUGCAUUUUCAUGAAUAGUUUCUAGCUGUAAAUACUAGGGAUUUUAUCAGGUUUAUCAAUUUUCUUAAAAAUCGGUCAUUAUUGAUAUUAUAUGCAUUUGUCGCAAGGCGCAAUUUUUUUAAUGGAUGAGUAAUAAAUUGACAUUUCGGUA